GAUGAACGCUGGCGGCGUGCCUAAUACAUGCAAGUCGAGCGAACAGACGAGGAGCUUGCUCCUCUGACGUUAGCGGCGGACGGGUGAGUAACACGUGGAUAACCUACCUAUAAGACUGGGAUAACUUCGGGAAACCGGAGCUAAUACCGGAUAAUAUAUUGAACCGCAUGGUUCAGUAGUGAAAGACGGUUUUGCUGUCACUUAUAGAUGGAUCCGCGCCGCAUUAGCUAGUUGGUAAGGUAACGGCUUACCAAGGCAACGAUGCGUAGCCGACCUGAGAGGGGGGGAGGGCAAACGGGGAAGUAGACCCGGGUCGAGCCUCCGAGGGGGGGACGCGGUGGGAAAUCUUCCGAAAGGGGGGAAGGCCUGACGGAGAAGCGCCGUGUGAGGAAUGAAGGUGUUGGGAUCGAAAAACUGUUUUAUGAGGGAAAAAAAAAUGUGUAAGAAACUAUGCCCGUCUGGACGGUCCCUAAUCAAAACGCCCGGGCAACCUAGGUC
rnacentral:rRNA from 1 species